GACGAACGCUGGCGGCGUGCCUAAUACAUGCAAGUAGAACGCUGAAGGAGGAGCUUGCUUCUCUGGAUGAGUUGCGAACGGGUGAGUAACGCGUAGGUAACCUGCCUGGUAGCGGGGGAUAACUAUUGGAAACGAUAGCUAAUACCGCAUAAUAGUAGAUGUUGAAUGACAUUUGCUUAAAAGUUGCAAUUGAAUCACUACCAGAUGGCCUUGCGUUGUAUUAGCUAGUUGGUGGGGUAACGGCUCACCAAGGCGACGAUACAUAGCCGACCUGAGAGGGUGAUCGGCCACACUGGGACUGAGACACGGCCCAGACUCCUACGGGAGGCAGCAGUAGGGAAUCUUCGGCAAUGGACGGAAGUCUGACCGAGCAACGCCGCGUGAGUGAAGAAGGUUUUCGGAUCGUAAAGCUCUGUUGUAAGAGAAGAACGAGUGUGAGAGUGGAAAGUUCACACUGUGACGGUAUCUUACCAGAAAGGGACGGCUAACUACGUG
rnacentral:rRNA from 1 species